CUCGGGUGAUCCCGCCGGACCUGACUGCUAUCGGAUUGGUACUAAGCCAUGCGAGUCGUUGUAGCAAUACAAGGCGGACGGCUCAGUAACACGUAGUCAACCUAACCUAUGGACGUGGAUAACCUCGGGAAACUGAGAAUAAACCGCGAUAGAUCAUUAUGCCUGGAAUGGCUUAUGGUUCAAACAAUUUAUUGCCGUAGGAUGGGACUGCGGCCUAUCAGCUUGUUGGUGAGGUAAUGGCCCACCAAGGCUAUAACAGGUACGGGCUCUGAGAGGAGAAGCCCGGAGAUGGGUACUGAGACACGGACCCAGGCCCUAUGGGGCGCAGCAGGCGAGAAACCUUAGCAAUGUGCGAAAGCACGACUAGGUUAAUCCGAGUGAUUUCUGUUGAAGAAAUCUUUUGUCAGUCGUAAAACCACAGACGAAUAAGGGGUGGGCAAGUCUGGUGUCAGCCGCCGCGGUAAUACCAGCACCUCGAGUGGUCAGGAGGUUUAUUGGGCCUAAAGCAUCCGUAGCCGGCUACGCAAGUCUCCGGUUAAAUCCAGCUGCUCAACAGAUGGGCUGCCGGAGAUACUACAUAGCUAGGGAGCGGGAGAGGUAGACGGUAUUCUGUGGGUAGGGGUAAAAUCCACUGAUCCAUAGAGGACCACCAGUGGCGAAGGCGGUCUACCAGAACGCGUUCGACGGUGAGGGAUGAAAGCUGGGGGAGCAAACCGGAUUAGAUACCCGGGUAGUCCCAGCUGUAAACGAUGCAAACUCGGUGAUGCAUUGGCUUAUGGCCAAUGCAGUGCCGCAGGGAAGCCGUUAAGUUUGCCGCCUGGGAAGUACGGACGCAAGUCUGAAACUUAAAGGAAAUGGCGGGGGAGCA
rnacentral:rRNA from 1 species